GACAGAGGUUGCAAGCGUUGUUCGGAAUUACUGGGCAUAAAGCGCACGUAGGCGGUCCGCUAAGUCAUGUGUGAAAUCCCCCGGCUCAACCGGGGAAUGGCGCCUGAUACUGGCGGACUCGAGAUCGGUAGGGGUGAGUGGAACUCCAGGUGGAGCGGUGAAAUGCGUAGAUAUCUGGAGGAACACCGGUGGCGAAGGCAGCCAUCUGGACCGACACUGACGCUGAGGCGCGAAAGCGUGGGGAGCAAACAGG
rnacentral:rRNA from 1 species